rnacentral:rRNA from 1 species
GACGAACGCUGGCGGCGUGCUUAACACAUGCAAGUCGAACGGAAAGGCCCUGCGUUUGUGGGGUGCUCGAGUGGCGAACGGGUGAGUAACACGUGAGUAACCUGCCCUUGACUUUGGGAUAACUUCAGGAAACUGGGGCUAAUACCGGAUAGGAGCUCCUGCUGCAUGGUGGGGGGUGGAAAGUUUCGGCGGUUGGGGAUGGACUCGCGGCUUAUCAGCUUGUUGGUGGGGUAGUGGCUUACCAAGGCUUUGACGGGUAGCCGGCCUGAGAGGGUGACCGGCCACAUUGGGACUGCGAUACGGCCCAGACUCCUACGGGAGGCAGCAGUGGGGAAUAUUGCACAAUGGGCGGAAGCCUGAUGCAGCAACGCCGCGUGCGGGAUGACGGCCUUCGGGUUGUAAACCGCUUUCGCCUGUGACGAAGCGUGAGUGACGGUAAUGGGUAAAGAAGCACCGGCUAACUACGUG